GACGAACGCUGGCGGCGUGCUUAACACAUGCAAGUCGAACGGAAAGGCCCUGCGUUUGUGGGGUGCUCGAGUGGCGAACGGGUGAGUAACACGUGAGUAACCUGCCCUUGACUUUGGGAUAACUUCAGGAAACUGGGGCUAAUACCGGAUAGGAGCUCCUGCUGCAUGGGGGGGGUUGGAAAGUGUCGGCGGUUGGGGAUGGACUCGCGGCUUAUCAGCUUGUUGGUGGGGUAGUGGCGUACCAAGGCUUUGACGGGUAGCCGGCCUGAGAGGGUGAACGGCGACAUUGGGACUGAGAGACGGCGCAGACUCCUACGGGAGGCAGCAGUGGGGAAUAUUGCACAAUGGGCGGACGCCUGAUGCAGCAACGCCGCGAGCGUGAUGACGGCCUUCGGGUUGUAAACCGCUGUCGCCUGUGACGAAGCGUUAGUGACGGUAAUGGGUAAAGAAGCACCGGCUAACUACGUG
rnacentral:rRNA from 1 species